AGAGUUUGAUCCUGGCUCAGAAUGAACGCUGGCGGCGUGCCUAACACAUGCAAGUCGUACGAGAAAGGGGCUUCGGCCCUGAGUAGAGUGGCGCACGGGUGAGUAACGCGUGGGUAAUCUACCCUUGGAUUUGGGAUAACUCUGCGAAAGUGGAGCUAAUACCGGAUAGUCUGGCUUUUAAUAGAAGUCGGUAAAGGAUGCCUCUGCAUAUGCAUUCGUCCGAGGAUGAGCCCGCGUCUAAUUAGCUAGUUGGUAGGGUAAUGGCCUACCAAGGCAACGAUGAGUAGCUGGUCUGAGAGGAUGAUCAGCCACACUGGAACUGAAACACGGUCCAGACUCCUACGGGAGGCAGCAGUGGGGAAUAUUGCGCAAUGGGCGAAAGCCUGACGCAGCAACGCCGUGUGAGGGAUGAAGGCUUUCGGGUCGUAAACCUCUGUCGGAAGGGAAGAACGGGCAUUGGUCUAAUAGGCCUUUGUUUUGACGGUACCUUUAGAGGAAGCACCGGCUAACUCCGUGCCAGCAGCCGCGGUAAUACGGAGGGUGCAAGCGUUAUUCGGAAUUACUGGGCGUAAAGCGCACGUAGGCCGCUUUGUAAGUCAGGGGUGAAAUCCCACGGCUCAACCGUGGAACUGCCUUUGAAACUGCAGAGCUUGAAUCCUGGAGAGGGUGGCGGAAUUCCUGGUGUAGGAGUGAAAUCCGUAGAUAUCAGGAGGAACACCGGUGGCGAAGGCGGCCACCUGGACAGGCAUUGACGCUGAGGUGCGAAAGUGUGGGGAGCAAACAGGAUUAGAUACCCUGGUAGUCG
rnacentral:rRNA from 1 species